UGGGGGAUAUUGGACAAUGGGGGGAACCCUGAUCCAGCGACGCCGCGUGAGUGAAGAAGUAUUUCGGUAUGUAAAGCUCUGUCAGCAGGGAAGAAAGAAAUGACGGUACCUGACCAAGAAGCCCCGGCUAACUACGUGCC
rnacentral:rRNA from 1 species